rnacentral:rRNA from 1 species
AUUGAACGCUGGCGGCAGGCCUAACACAUGCAAGUCGAACGAGUGGCGGACGGGUGAGGAAUGCAUCGGGAACUACUCUGUGGUGGGGGAUAACGAAGGGAAACGGAAGCUAAUACCGCAUACGAUUGAAUGAGCCGAUGUCGGAUUAGCUAGUUGGCGGGGGAAAGGCCCACCAAGGCGAAGAUCCGUAGCUGGUCUGAGAGGAUGAUCCACCCCACUGGAACUGAGACACGGUCCAGACUCCUACGGGAGGCAGCAUUGGGGAAUAUUGCACAAUGGGCGCAAGCCUGAUCCAGCCAUGCCGCGUGUGUUAAGAAGGCCUUCGGGUUGUAAAGCCCUUUUGUUGGGGAAGCGGUACCCAAAGAAGAAGCACCGGCUAACUUCGUGCCAGCAGCCGCGGUAAUUC